GCUUGACAUCUAGAUCACUUCACCUAAUGGUAUUGUCCUAAAACAAAUAAGAUUUGCUAAAUAAAGGAUAAUCUUCUCUGUUGUCCGAUGGUGAUAAGAUUCCAUGCCAAGGAAAAUGGUGCAAGCCCUAUUAAGCUUGCCACAUACAAUUUCUUAGAGAAAGUUGAAGCCGUCCCAGCAUGUUUUAUAGUUUCCCCGG
rnacentral:lncRNA from 1 species